GACGAACGCUGGCGGCGUGCUUAACACAUGCAAGUCGAGCGGAAAGGCCCUUCGGGGUACUCGAGCGGCGAACGGGUGAGUAACACGUGAGUAACCUGCCCCAGACUUUGGGAUAACCCUCGGAAACGGGGGCUAAUACCGGAUACGACACAGCUUCGCAUGGGGUCUGUGUGGAAAGUUUUUCGGUUUGGGAUGGGCUCGCGGCCUAUCAGCUUGUUGGUGGGUGAUGGCCUACCAAGGCGACGACGGGUAGCCGGCCUGAGAGGGCGACCGGCCACACUGGGACUGAGACACGGCCCAGACUCCUACGGGAGGCAGCAGUGGGGAAUAUUGCACAAUGGGCGGAAGCCUGAUGCAGCGACGCCGCGUGAGGGAUGACGGCCUUCGGGUUGUAAACCUCUUUCAGCAGGGACGAAGCGUAAGUGACGGUACCUGCAGAAGAAGCGCCGGCCAACUACGUG
rnacentral:rRNA from 1 species